UACGUAGGGUGCGAAGCGUUGUCCGGAAUUAUUGGGCGUAAAGAGCUCGUAGGCGGUUUGUUGCGUCUAUCGUGAAAACCUGCAGCUUAACUGUGGGCUUGCGGUGGAUACGGGCAGACUUGAGUUCGGUAGGGGAGACUGGAAUUCCUGGUGUAGCGGUGAAAUGCGCAGAUAUCAGGAGGAAUACCGAUGGCGAAGGCAGGUCUCUGGGCUGAAACUGACGCUCAUGCACGAAAGCGUGGGGAGCAAACAGG
rnacentral:rRNA from 1 species